UUAUUCUCCAGUGCAGAUAAACACCAGGGCUCUUCUUUUUAAAAUUGGGAUAUGGUUGUUGAGGUUGCCUUGUUUAUGCAUUUAUUUAUGUAUUGUAUUUAUAUGACAUUGUUCUCCCAGAGUGGAGUUGUAUUGAUACUGUUUUUGGUUAUUUAUACUGGUUUUAACUUGUCAUAUUCUUUUCUGUUUUGGGCUUGGCCCCAUGUUAGCCACCCCGAGUCCCUUCGGGGAGAUGGAGGCGGGAUAGAAAAAUAAAGUAUUAUUAUUAUUAUUAUUAUUAUUAUUAUUAUUAUUAUUAUUAUUAUUAUUGACACAACGACGUUGUAUGACACAGCAAACAAGAUAGAUAUGCUGGAUUUCGUUUCACAAAAUCACAAGUCGAACACUUCCCAAGUGUCUAGGACUGUGUGAUGUAUUUUCGGAUGAUGCGUGCAGAUCCCAGCAGGGUGGCCUUUUGCAGCUGGCAGAUCGUAAUUUUGUCAAUGUCUAUUGUUUCCAAAUACCGGUUGAGAUCUUUUGGCACGGCACCCAAUGCACCGAUCACCACCGGGACCACCUGCAUUGGUUUCUGCCAGAGUCUUUGCAGUUCAAUCUUGAGGUCCUGAUAGCGGCUGAGUUUUUCCUGUUGCUUUUCGUCAAUGCGACUGUCACCUGGGAUGGCGACAUCAAUGAUCCAAACCUUUUUCUUUUCCACAACUGUGAUGUCUGGUGUGUUGUGUUCCAGAACUUUGUCAGUCUGGAUUCGGAAGUCCCACAGUAUCUUUGCGUGCUCAAACACAAAGUUGUUGUUUGUUUUCUGGGCUGUAUGGCCAUGUUUCAGAAGUAUUCUCUCCUGACAUUUCGCCCACAUCUAUGGCAGGCAUCCUCAGAGGUUGUGAGGUCUGUGAAAAUCGCCACACACGGAGGGCAUUUCUAUCCCUUUUAG
rnacentral:lncRNA from 1 species